rnacentral:misc_RNA from 1 species
GAACUGCGAUAAGUAAUGUGAAUUGCAGAAUUCAGUGAAUCAUCGAGUCUUUGAACGCACAUUGCGCCCCCUGGCAUUCCGGGGGGCAUGCCUGUCCGAGCGUCAUUGCUGCCCUUCAAGCCCGGCUUGUGUGUUGGGACGUCGUCCCCUCCGGGGGACGGGCCCGAAAGGCAGCGGCGGCACCGCGUCCGGUCCUCGAGCGUAUGGGGCUUUGUCACCCGCUCGAUAAGGACCGGCCGGGCGCCAGCCGGCGUCUCCAACCUUUUUUUCUCAGGUUGACCUCGGAUCAGGUAGGGAUACCCGCUGAACUUAAGC